rnacentral:rRNA from 1 species
CGAACGCUGGCGGCAGGCUUAACACAUGCAAGUCGAACGCCCCUUCGGGGGAGUGGCAGACGGGUGAGUAACGCGUGGGAACCUACCUAUCAGUACGGAACAACUCAGGGAAACUUGUGCUAAUACCGUAUACGUCCUUCGGGAGAAAGAUUUAUCGCUGAUAGAUGGGCCCGCGUUAGAUUAGCUAGUUGGUGAGGUAACGGCUCACCAAGGCGACGAUCUAUAGCUGGUCUGAGAGGAUGAUCAGCCACACUGGAACUGAGACACGGUCCAGACUCCUACGGGAGGCAGCAGUGGGGAAUAUUGGACAAUGGGCGAAAGCCUGAUCCAGCCAUGCCGCGUGAGUGAUGAAGGCCCUAGGGUUGUAAAGCUCAUUCAACGGUGAAGAUAAUGACGGUAGCCGUAGAAGAAGCCCCGGCUAACUUCGUGCCAGCAGCCGCGGUAAU